CGGCGGGGCUGCCAAGGGCUGAGGGAAUGGGCGGGCCAGGCUGCAGCCCCGCGGCACCGCUCCCCGCGCCCUCACCGAGUCUGUGCCAGGCCUGGCGCGAUUCUGGGCACCGUGGGAAACAGCCGGCGCCUUCUAGGGGCUUAGGACGAGAGACGGGAGAAGGUGCAGGAGGCACAGGAUCAAGCAAGACAUCACAAAAGAAGGCCCAGGUUUGCAAAGGAAUUCUAGAAUUGACAAGUAGAGCCAUGGAAAUUCAGGUCUCGGAGGAUGAGGUGUAGGACAGCGGAAAAGAGUGCGCGGACCUGGAGGCUGAUCGGAAGCAGCUCACCAGAGAGACAGGUGAUGGAGAAUAAAAAGGAAAAAGCCACGGAUGGCAAUGCCGGGAGAUCUCACAGGCCGGGGCAGAGCUCCCUGCAGAGGCAGUUCCUGAAGGAGAGCUGCCAGAAGUGAUUCUUAAAAUCGGGUGGAAUGCAAACACCGGAGAUGAACAUCUGGACGCUAGUGAAUCUGCAGAACUCCAAAGACUAUGCGAUUUUAAAAGCGACCAAGGAUGAUGGAUUUUAAAAAUUACACCAAUAACAAACUUCUCAGCAGCAAACGUAGAAGGCUAGAGUAAAAUGUAACGCUUUACACCUCGUUGACAGGAAAAAUGCUGUCAACGAGGUGUUGAUCCAUGAUUUAAGAGUUAAGAAGUAAAGAUAGGUGGUGACAAAGAGCUUACACGAAAGACUGUUGCUGAAAUUAUUUUUGGGGGGUGGGACUGAGUCGUUCUGUCGCCCAGGCUGGAGUGCAUUGGCGCAAUCGCAGCUCACUGCAACCUCCACUUCCCGGGUUCAAGCGAUUUCUCCUGCCUCAGCCUCCUGAGUAGCUAGGACUACAGGUACGUGACACCACACCCAGCUAAUUUUGUAUUUUUAGUAGAGACGGGGUUUCACCACGUUGCCCAGGAUAGUUUUGAUCUCCUGACCUCGUGAUCCAUCCGUCUCCGCCUCCCAAAGUGCUGGAUUACAGGCGUGAGCCACUGAGUGUGGCAGCUGAAAUAAUUUUUAAAGAAUGUACUUCAGUAACAAGCACAUGGAACCGAAAAGGAAGAAAUUAGAUGGAAAAAUGGUGAGCAAAUUGGUAAACGUGAGUAAAUCUAAACAAGCAUGUAAUAUGCAACAUGAAUAAUGAUUAAUUUGCGGGCUACAGAAACAAGAUGUAUGAGACGCAAGAACUUGGAAGACUGAGAGGGCAGAGUUAAGGUGUUCUCGGAAGUUAGAUUUGUUUGAGACAAGGGUAAAGAGACUGAGCAUUGUUAGGCUUUGUAAAGUUAGGUGAGUAUUUCAGAUAUUUAAGAGGGAUCAUCAAAAGAGUAGAAACGGAACUGUAACUGCCAAUGCCGAGAAAAGGGUGGUGAUGGGUAUUAAAACUAAUAGCAAAGUAAAGCAAAGUAAAAGGGAUGGUAAAUAAAUGGUACAAAACCCGAGGCAGAAAAUGUGGUUUACCUUCAUUUCUCAAAACACAGAUUACCAGAUCGGCCAAGAAAAAAUAAAAUGCAGCUCUAUGCUGUUUACAAGAGGACAUUUAAAACCUAAGGGCACCAAAAGUAAAAAGAUGGCGGCUGGGUACAGCGGCUCACGCCUGUAAGCCCAGCUCUUUGGGAGGUCGAGGCAGGCUGAUCACUAGGUCAGGAGUUGGAGACUAGCCUGACCAACAUGGUGAAACCUCGUCUCUACUAAAAAUACAAAAAUUAGACAGGCAUGGUGGUGCACACCUAUAAUCCCGGCUACUCAGGAGGCUGAGGCAAAAGAAUCGCUUGAACCCCGGAGGUGGAGGCUGCAGUGAGCCAAGAUUGUGUCACUGCAUUGCAGCCUGAGCAACAGAGCAAGACUCGGUCUCAAAAAUUAAAUUAAAAAUUAAAAAGUUAAGAUGGAAAAAGGUAUGCUAGAGAAAGACUAACCAAAAGAUGUACCUAUAGAAAACUCAGACAAAAUAGGCUUUCAGGCAGAAGACACUGGGGAUAAAGAGGAUCACCAGGAAAUGAAAGGAGGAACUCUAUGGAGAGAGAAAAGUUUUGAACUUCCAUGUUCCAGGGUUUCUUUUUUUUUUUUUUUUUUAAAGGCUGAAAAUAGGCUAGGCAUGGUGACUCAUGCCUGUAAUCCCAGGACUUUGGGAGACCAAGGUGGGCAGAUAACUUGAGGCCAGGAGUUCAAGACCAGGCUGGCCAACAUGGCAAAACCCUGUCUCUACUAAAAAUACAAAAAUUAGCUGGAUGUGGUGGUGCAUGCCUGUCAUCCAGCUACUUAGGUGGCUGAGGCAGGAGAAUUGCUUGAAUCUGCUAUGUGGAGGUUGCAGUGAGUCGAGAUUGUGCCGCUACCCUCCAACCUGGGUGACAUACCUGAAAUCCCAGCACUUUGGGAGGCCCAGACUGGAGAAUUGCUUGAGCCCAAGAAUUCAGGGGUGCAGUGAGCUGUGAGUGCACCUCUGCAUUGCUGCCUAGGUGACAAAAUAAGACCGAUUUCUUUUUUUAAAAAAUCAGAUUUUUAUUUUUUCCAUCUCAAAAAAAAGGGGAGGUUGCUGAAAAUAGAUUAAGAAUACAAGGAGAAAUUGCCAAGUUCUCCACCUUAGUGGGAGACAUGAGACCUCUGAGUAACUAAUAAACCAACCAACCGAAGGCCCGGACUGGAGAAUUGCUUGAGCCCAAGAGUUCAAGGCUGCAGUGAGCUGUGAAUACACCUCUGCAUUCCAACCUGGGUGACAAAAUAAGACCCAAUUCUUCAAAAAAAAAAAAAAUCAGAUUUAUAGUCUUAAAUACAUAGAUUUAUUACUUAGAUAACAUAGAAAAGCAAUGAACAGAGUGUUAAAGAAAUUUAAAAAGGAGUAAUAGUAUAAUUCCAGCACUUUGGGAGUCCAAGGCAGGUGGAUCACCUGAGGUCAGGAGUUUGAGACCAGCCUGGCCAACAUGGUGAAACCCCUCCUCUACUAAAAAUACAAAAGUUAGCUAGGCAUGGUGGCAUGUGCCUGUAAUUUCAGCUACUUGGGAGGCUGAGGCACAAGAAUUGCUUGAAUCCUGGAGGCAGAGGUUGGAGUGAGCCAAGAUCAUGCCGUUGCACUCCAGCCUAUGUGACAAGAGUAAGACUCUGUCUCAAAAAAAUAAAAGAAAAUUAGCUGGCUUUGGUGGCAUGCACCUAUAGUCCCAACUGCUUGGGAAGCUGAAGUGGGAGGAUCAUUUGAGUGACAGAGUGAGGCCUUGUCUCAGAAAAACAACAAAAAAUAAUGGGAAAAAAAAAAACAAAAACUAGGCCAGGUAUGGUGGCUCACACCUGUAAUCACAGCACUUUGGGAGGCCAAGGCAGGCAGAUCACUUGAGCCCAGGAGUUGUAGACCAGCCUGGGCAACAUAGUGAAACUCGGUCUCUACAAGAAAUACAAAAAAAUUAGCUGGGUGUGGUAGCACACACCUGUAAUCCCAGCUACUUGGGAGGCUAAGGCAUGAGAAUCACUUGAACCAGGGAGGUGGAGGUUGUAGUGAGCUGAGAUUGUGUCACUGCACUCCAGCCUGGGUGACAGAGCAAGACCCUGUCUCAAAAACAACAAAACAGGUGGGGCACGGUGGCUGACACCUGUAAUCCCAGCACUUUGUGAGGCCAAGGCAGGCAGAACACAAGGUCAAGAGAUCGAGACUAUCCUGGCCAACAUGAUAAAACCUUGUCUCUACUAAAAAUACAAAAAUUAGCUGGGCAUGGUAGCACACACCUGUAAUCCCAACUACUCAAAUGCUGAGGCAGGAGAAUCACUUGAACCCAGGAGGUGGAGGUUGCAGUGAGUCAAUAUUGUGCCACUGCAUUGUAGCCUGGUGGGAGAGCGAGACUUAGUCAAAAAAAAGAGAAAACCCAACCUACAAUAAACAUGUACUUAAAGGUAAAACACCAUUCUAUGUGAUGAACAUGAGCUAUUCUUUUUAAAGCCAGGAACAAAUAUCCUGUAAACACAAUUCAAUAUUGUAUUGUAUCCAGAGCACCAAGACCAAAAAAGGAGCAAAUCUAUCAUUCCCAGCCAGGAAAUCCAAGAGAAUCUACACACAGUGAAAGACUGGUAACUAAUGACGUCUGAGGACACCUGCUAGGUAGUAAGUUCAGAGGAACGUGAAUCUAUGGGCUCUUUCCACUGCUGCUGGGAGUGUAAGUGACCUCAGUGACAUUGGAGAGCAAUUUGGCACAAUUGACCCAAAUGAAGAUGCCUAUGUCCUUCCUACAGACCAGGAAUUCUACUGUGUGCAUGCCCAGGAGCCCAGGGAAACAUGGGCAAGAAUGCUUAUUGUAACAUUUUCAUAAUAGCAAAAAGUUGGGAACCACCUAAAUGUCUUAUUCAGUAGCUUGCUGUGUGUUCCUGUAACAGAACCACAUGCUAUUUAAUGAAAGAUGGAGAGGAGUCAAUGAACACUGCCCUUAAAGGGCCGGAUGGCAAAUAUUUUAGGCUUUGCAGGCCAUGUGGUCUUCAGUGACCACUUGGUUCUAUUAUAGUGGCCUUAGCCAACCCGAAUGGGUUUGGCUGCAUCUGGAUAAAACUUUAUUUGCUAAAACAGACAGACGUUGCUGAGGGCCUUAGUUUGCUGAGUCUUGAUCCAGAGCUGUGUGUCAAACUGGAUGAACCUCACACACUCAGUGCCACAGGCACUCCCAGUAUAUCCUCAAAUGUGACUAGGCUCAUAGAGAGCAGCCAAAGAGCUGAGUCAGCCAUGGCCCUGGGAUGUGAUUACACCUGUCUUUUGUCAGACCCAGCCCUGAGCUGAGGCUAGGAUGGAGGAGGGGAGCCCCCAAGUCCCAAGCUCUGAGCUUUGCCCUGCCUGCAGUCCCUCCCCUUCCCCAUUGCCCCUGAAUCCAGUGGCCUGGCCUCUGCUUCAUGUGCCUGCUUGAAUGAAAAACAGACAUCUCAAACUUGACCUGUGUACAACAAGCCUAUCGUCUUCCCCUAAAAUGGGCUCCAGCUGUAAUUGUUUGUCUCCCUUUUUCAGGCCAAAAACCUCAGUCGUUUUUGAGACGGAGUUUCGCUCUCCCAAGCAGGAAAUGAAGUGGUGGGAUCACAGCUCACUGCAACCUCCACAUCCCGGGUUCAAGCGAUUUUCCUGCCUUAGCCUCCUGAGUAACUAGGAUUACAGGUGCAUGCCACCUCACCUGGCUAAUUUUUGGAUUUUUAGUAGAGACGGGGUUUCACCAUGUCGGCCAGGCUGGUCUCAAACUCCUGACCUCAGGCGAUCUGCCCGCCUCAGGCUCCCAAAGUGCUGGAAUUACAGGCCUGAGCCCCCCCCUCCCCCACCCCCUACCUGGCUUCCUCAGAGUCAUUCUUUUUUCCUUUUUUUUUUUUGAGACAGAGUUUCACUCUUACUACCCAGGCUGGAGUGUAAUGGCCAUGAUCACAGCUCACCGCAACCUCUGCCUCUGGGUUCAAGCAAUUCUCUUGCCUCAGCCUCCCGAGUAGCUGGGACUACAGGCUGUGCCACGAUGCCCAGCUAAUUUUUUUGUUUUUAGUAGAAACAGGGUUUCACCAUGUUGACCGGGAUGGUCUCGGUCUCUUGACCUCAUGAUCCACCCACCUCGGCCUCCCAAAGUGCUGGGAUUAUAGGUGUGAGCCACCGCGCCUGGCCCAGAGUCAUUCUUAACACCUUUCUUUCCUUUACCACCCUCUUCCACCACUCCUGCUCCACUUCCAAUCCAUCCUCAAAUCCUGUCGGGUCCACCUUCAAGAUUCUCCAGAAUCUGAUCACAGCUCACUGCCGCCGCCUCUGCCACUAGGGCCACAGCCCCCACCUCAUCUUGCAGAACUGCUGCUAUUGUCUUUUUGCUGGUUUUCCUGUCCUGGCUUUGCCUCUUUCAGUCUACUCUCGGGACAGUGACCAUAGCUCUCUUGUCCCCACACGCCCCUCUUAGAAAAAGAGCCAGGGGCUGAUGGUGGCCCAGGAGGCUGUGGGAUCUGGCUCCCAACUACUCCUCCAGCCUCCUGACUACUCCAGGAAUCCCUGGCAGGCUUCUGCCCCAGGGUCUUUUCCUGGGACAUCCUUCCCUGGGAUCUCUGUGUCCCUCACCCUCACCUUGAGUUUUGGUUCAAGUGUCCUAUCAGGGAGGCCUUCCAGUAUGCUAUAUAAUUUCUCUGGGCAUUUUAUUAUGAAAGUGUUCAAACACUUGAAAUAAUGGUCCCCCUUAUACCCAGUUACAUUCUGCCACUAACAGUUGGCUCAGCUGGGCCCAGUGGCAUAGGUGUCAAGUGUAUUCUUUAGUGAGUCUGAGAAGUACACACACUAAUGUGACCCAAACUCCUUUCAAGAUAGAGAAUAUGGCCGGGUGAGGUGGCUGACGCCUGUAAUCCCAAUACUUUGGGAGGCCAGGGUUAGCAAACCACCUGAGGUCAGGAGUUCAGGACCAGCCUGGCCAACAUGGUGAAACCCCGUCUCUACUAAAAAUACAAAAAAUUAGCUGGGUAUGGCGGCUAGGCUCCUGUAGUCCCAGGUACUUGGGAGGCUGAGGCAGGAGAAUGGCUUGAACCCCGAAGGCAGAGGUUGCAGUGUGUCGAAAUCUCACCACUGCACUCCAGCCUGGGUGACAUAGCGAGACUCCGACUCAAUAAAAAAAAAAAGAACACGACCUUCCCCUUGGAAGGUUCCUUGGGCCUCCCCAGUCUACCUGCACUCUCCACGGAGGCAGGCACCAUUCCCAUUUCUCACCAUAUGCUGGCCUGGUCUAAAAAUUCUUUUUUUUUUUUUAGACGGGGUUUCACCAUGUUGGUCAGGCUGGUCUUGAACUCCCAACCUCAGGUGAUUCGCCCGCCUUGGCCUCCAAGGUGCUUGGAUUACAGACUUGAGCCACCACGCCCAGCUAGAAAUUCUUAUAGAUGAAAUCACACAGCAUGUAUUCUUAUGUCUCUGGUUUAAUUCAACAUAAGGUUUUUGAGGCUUACCCAUGUUGUUGCGGGUAUCAGUAGGCCAUUUCUUUUUUCUUUUGUGAUGGAAUCUCACUGUCACCCAGGCUGGAGUGUAGUGGCACAAUCUUAGCUCACUCUAACCUCCACCUUCCAGGUUCAAGGGAUUCUUCUGCCUCAGCCUCCCUAAUAGCUGGGAUUACAGGAGCAUGCCACCGUGCCCAGUUAAUUUUUUUUUUUGUGGGGGGGAAUUUUUAGUAAAGACAGGGUUUCAUUAUGUUGGCCAGGCUGGUCUCAAACUCCUGAUCUCGUGAUCCACCCACCUUGGCCUCCCAAAGUGCUGGGAUUACAAGUGUGCACCACUGUGCCUGAGUAGGCCGUUUCUUUAAACUAUCAAGUAGGUUCCCAUGGAGGGAUGUACAGUUUGUUUUUCUAUUGAUGGAUGCCUGGGCUGUUUCCAGUUUUUGGUGACUGUGAAGAAAACUGCUUUGAACACAGCUGUAACAGUCUUUGUGUUUUUUUGUUUCACUUGGACAAAUAGCAGUGGAAUUGCUGGCUUUGGGGACAGGUGUGUUUUUAAGGAGUUACCAGACCUUUCCCCAGUGCUGUUCCCUUUUGCACCCCCAUUAGUGACAUACAGGAGUUCCAGGUGCCCUGCCUCCUUGCCAGCACUUGGUGGUGGUCAUGUUUUUGCCAUGUUGGUGGGUGUGUAGUGGUAUCCCAUUAUGGUUUCACAUUUAAUGCUUAUUAUAAAAUGUUAUUUUCCCUUCUCACUAAAAUGCAAGCCCCUUAAGGACAGAGUUUUUCAUAUCCUUGGUUCCUGAUAUAUCCCAGGACAUAGGGUGCAGCACAUGGCUCUUUGAAUAAGUGACACCCCCUCCGAGUUCCCCACAGUCAUCUCUCUGUGCCACUGGCCAUCUAGAAGGCAUAUCUCCCCCUCUAGACCCUGUGCGGGAACAUAGUCUCUGCCAUGCACUGCUGCCAGGUACUAAGAGGAUCAGCAGGUUGGGGAAAUUGUUUCUGCUCAGGGGAUGUCUCAGCCACAAGCACACCCUCUGCCGCUCUGCUCGCACCUCUCAUUCCUGCUGUUCUGUGGCUUCUGACUUGGACUCAUGGGCCUGAGAAAAAGUGGAGAGCUGGCCUUGGCUGGCCUUGCACAGGGACAGAAUAACCCUGGCCUGGGUGGCCACUAAUGAGUGCGUGAGUGUGGGGAGAUCAUAUGCCCUGAGCUCCUUUACAUGACGGCAGGUGAGCCAGACGGACCUGGGACAGCUGCUUCCCCAUAUGAAGAACUGAAGAAUUUCAUCUUCAUCUGCAAAACUGAGACAAUGUCAGAACUCCAAGGUAGAGGAUCAGUGAGCGACUCCAGUAGCCAUGGAGUCCUGGGGGAAUCAGGGCCUACAAUCAGCAGGACCAGCCUUAGCACGGAGGUGGGUGGGCAGGAGGAGGUGGGGGGGAGUGGGGGGGGGCGGUGGGGAGUGGGGUGGGAGGGACUGACUCUGGACCAGACUGAAGACUGGCUGAACCAGAAGUACCAAAAUCACCUCUCCAUAAGACAUGCCCACCAGUGCCAUGACAACACCUGGAUGUUACCACCUCUGUCCAUGACAAUGCUCAGAACUUACUGCCAUUUUCUAGCUAUUUCUGAAUAAACUACCCCCUGAAUUAGCACGUCAUUAAAAGUGGGUUAUAGGCUGGCUGCAGGGAUCACAAGGUCAGAAGUUCAAGACCAGCCUAGCCAAGAUGGUGAAACCCUGUCUCUACUAAAAAUACAAAAAUUAGCUGGGCACGGUGGCAGGCACUUGUAAUCCCAGCUACUCGGGAGGCUGAGGCAGGAGAAUUGCUUGAACCUGGGUGGCAGAGGUUGCCGUGAGUGGAGAUUACACCACUGCACUCCAGCCUGGGCGAUAGAGUGAGACUCCAUUUCACAAAAUAAAAAAAAAAAAAACGGGUUAUAAAUACAGCUACACAUCUGCCCCUGAGCUGCUAUUCUCAGCACACUGCCCAUGGCGGGGUGGGGAUGAGGGGUAGUGGGGGUGGAGCAGUCACAAAGCUGUGACCCCUCCGCUCCCUCAAUAAAGCUGUUUCUUCUACCACCAGCUGGCUCUGGAAUUCCUUCCUGAGUGAAGCUGAGAGCCUGCCCUGCAUCAGCACUGCCUGUACCUCGUUUAAAGCGAUGAACUCACUUAUAAAAUGGGCCUCACAUUGGGAGGCCCUAGGUGGGCUGAAGUCUGAGUUAGGGUUAUUAGUUCCGAGGAAGGAUUGGCUGUUUCCGUUUACAGACUCAAAGUGGGGGCCCAGCAUUGUGGCUCACACCUGUAAUCCCAGCACUUUGGAAGGCCAACAUGGUUGGAUCACCUGAGGUCAAGAGUUCAAGACCAGCCUGGCCAACAUGGCAAAACCCCAUCCCUACUAAAAAUACAAAAAUUAGCUGGGUGUGGUGGUGCUUAACUGUAAUCCCAGCUACUUGAGAGGCUGAAGUAGGAAAAUCACUUGAACCCGGGAGGCGGAGGUUGCAGUGAGCCGAGAUGUACCACUGCACUCCAGCCUUGGUUAGAGACUGAGACUCCCUAUCAAAAACAAAUAACAAAACUGCAACCAAAAAAACAAAGUGGGGCCAGGCACGGUGGCUCACGCCUGUAAUCCCAGCAAUUUGGGAGGCUGAGGUGGGGGGAUCACUUGAGGUCAGGAGUUCAAGAUCAGCCUGGCCAACAUGAAACCCUGUCUCUACUAAAAAUACAAAAAUUAGCUGAGUGUAGUGGUGGGCACCUGUAAUCCCAGCUACUUGGGAGGCUGAGGCAUGAAAAUCACUUGAACCCAGGUGGCAGAGGUUACAGUGAGCUAAGAUUGUGCCACUAUACUCCAGCCUGGGAAACAGAGCGAGACUCCAUCUCAAAAAAAAAAAAGCAAAGUGAAACACUCCAAAAAAAUAGGGACUGAGACCCACUCAGGGUUUCCCAGGGCUUGAGCUCACACCACCCCAUGUCACUCCCCACAGAUCCUCUGCUCUCACUGGGAAAGUGGAGGCCAAGGACAACCCCACUGCCCAUGCAGGGCCUCAGACCUGGCCAUUCCUUUCCUGCAGGCCUUACUCAUGUCCCCAUCCUCCUCUUGAGCCAGGGGCAUGCUCAGGCCUCUCAAGCUCUAACCCAGCCUCCCAGAGUGAGAGGGCCAGGGCUGCCACCCUUCUCCCUCCUCCUCCCUUGGAGCGGGCUGGUCACCUGGGGAGGGAGGUUGGCUCCCUGAGGCCUUUGCAGCCUCCAGCUGCUCAUCUCUCCGUAGCCACUCAUGAGGUCCUGGGUUCUCUCCACACCCACCAGUGCCUCCACUAUGAAUGACUUACAAACCCCACCUCCAGCUUGGCUUCCAGGUGUCAGGUCCAGGCUCUGUCUCUGGAACAAAGGCUGCCUCCAUUCUCAACACAUCCAAAGGAAGUCAUCUCUUCCCAAGCCUGUGCCUCCAGCUCAUCGGCCCUGCCUUCUCAUCCAUCACCUGGCCCAGGCCCAGCUGGACUCCCCCUCACCCACCAGUGCAGUCCUCAGUCCUCUCCAGCCCAUCUGUCACCUCUCACCCCUCUCCACUGUCACUGCUCUGGGAACACAUCCCUCUUGUCUGCCCUAGAUCGCACCUCACCAGUAUGCCUCCCCUGCAGAAGCAAGGCUGGGCACACUAAUCCCUGCCUUUCUGAACAAUCAGCCCCUUCCAAAGUUUCAUUCUGGCCAGGUGCGGUGGCUCACACCUGCAAUCCCAGCACUUAGGGAGGCCGAGGCAGGAGAAUCCCUUGAGCUCAGGAGCUCAAGAUUAGCCUGGGCAACUAUGUUAGUCCAUUCUCACACUGCUAGAAAGAACUGCCGAGACUGGGCAAUUUAUAAAGAAAAAGUUUAAUGACACACAAUUCCGCAUGGCUGGGGAGGCCUCAGGAAACUCAUAAUGCUGGCAGAAGGUGAAGGGGAAGCAGACACCUUCUUCCCUAGGCGUCAGGAGAGAAUGAACAGAGGAGGAACUUCCAAACACUUACAAAACCAUCAGCUCUCAUGAGAACUCACUACCAAGAGAAUAGCAUGGGGGAAACCACCCCCAUGAUUCAAUCACCUCCACCUGGUCUCUCCCUUGACACGUGGGGAUUAUGGGAAUUACAAUUCAAGACGAGAGUUUGGGUGGGGCAGAGCCAAACCCUAUCAGUAACAUAGCCAGCCCCUAUCUCUAUUUUAACAACAGCAGCAGCAACAAAGCAUUGCGUAGGAACACUUUUUUUUCUUUUUGAGAUAGAGUCUUGCCCCGUUGCCAGGCUGGAGUGCAGUGCAGUGGUGUGGUCUCGGCUCACUUCAAUCUCCGUCUCCCAGGUUCAAGAGAUUGUCCUGCCUCACCCUCCUGAGUAGCUGGGAAUACAGGCACGCACCACAACACUCAGCUGUUUUUUGUAUUUUUAGUGAGAAUGGGUUUUACCAAAUUGGCCAAGAUGGUCUUGAUCUCUUGACCUUGUGAUCUGCCAGCCUCGGCUUCCCAAAGUGCUGGGAUUACAGGCGUCAGCCACCCCGCCAUGCCAAGGAAAACAUUUUAAAAAUAAAAAUAAAAGAGUUCCACUGCCACUCUUUAUCCAGUCCCUUCACUUCCUCAUCCAGCACAGACUCCACAGCCACCAUAAUUACUUCCAAAAGUCCUAACUCCCUUUCUUCUGCUAACUAACCUGGCAAAGUCCAGCUGCGGGGUGACUGCUGCACCCCCGGGCUGAAAGAGACACUGCAGAAGGGCCGGCUGCCGAACUCAGUCGAACUCCCCACCCGCACCCCCGGGGAAGUCUGUGUUCUCCUCUCCCCUCUUCUUUUGCUGCCUUCACUCCAACAGAGACCUUGCCCUGCCUGCUGGCCCUCUCCCUGGCUCCCCUCAUGCUGAGUGGAAUUGCUGUCCCUGUUCUAAGGCCAGUCCUCCCACUGCCAGGACGCCAGCCUUCCUCAUGCCCCAUGGACUUGCUCCCUGAGGCCCCUUACUAUCUCCCCUCACCAGAAAAACAUGUUCUGAUGACUCACCCAUCCUCAAAGUCCUUUCUCCUCGUGGCUUUUAUGGCAGAAGCAGCUGACAGCCGACUUCAGUAGUCGCUGUCCCAGUCUUCCUUCGAAGAAGCCCUGGGUGUCUCAGUGCGGCCAUGCACCUGGCUUCCGUAGUCAGGAGUGGCAGCUGGCUGAACCUCAGUCAAUUAGGCCUAAGUGGAAAGUGCUCUAUGGGACUCUUGGGAAACCGCCUUAAAGGGAAAAGGUACAUUCUUCACCAUCCCCAUUCUCCAUCAGUUGCCACCUGGAUGACUGGGGCUCCAGAAGCUUUUUUUUUUUUUUUUUUUUUUUUUUUUGUGAGGCGGUGUCACUCUGUCAACUAGGCUGGAGUGGUGGCACAGUGCAGCGUUGACUAGGCAGGCUCAAGCGAUCCUCCCAUCUCAGCCUCCUGAGUAGCUGGGACUACAGGCACUCGACAACACAACCAGCUGUUUUUUGUAUUUUUAGGAGAGAUGGGGUUUCACCAUGUUACCCAGACUAGUCUUGAACCCCUGGGCUCAAGCGAAUCUCCCGCCUUGGCCUCCCAGAGUGCUGGGAUUGCAGGUGUGACCCACCGCACCCAGCCUCCUUGGCUUAAAUGCCAGUAACAGGCUGAUAGCUCCAUAUCCUUUUGUCUAGCAAGGACUGGCAGCAUAGGGUAUUCAAGUCUGUUGGACAUUCUUACUAUACACAUGGGUAUCUGACAGGCUCAGGUUAAGCAGGCCAUUUCCAAAUUGCAGGUGCUCUUUCCCCACCAAAGGUCCCCAGUGAGCCUCCUCUGAGUGAGUGGCAGCACCUGGUUGCCAAGCAGGCACCAAGAGUCUCCCUUGAUGUCUCAUUUCCUUACUUUCCAGCCCUCCCCAGCAAGACCUGGUGCUGUCUCUUCAGAAUCCCUCCUUCUGGCCCCAUGAAACCGCUCUUGCCCAAACUGAUUACCAUCAGUUCUCACCUGGCUGCCUGGGCUCCUGACUCCACGCAGCUCCACAUUCUGCCUGGGAUGCAAACGUGUGUACAUUUCUAGCGAGUUUCAUGUUGCAGGGGGUUCUCUUUGGUUGACUCUGGCAGAUUCACUCUGGACUUCUGGAUAAUGCUGCUCAUUGUUUAGUUACUUUAUUAGAAAAGGGCUGGAAAGCCCUGGCUUAUCAUGCUGUAGCGUAUUGUUAGUUUAUUGCAAACUUUUAACAUUUAAUUUUUACCCAAACACUUGUAGUAUUUAAAAAUCAAGUAUGCCAGACAUGGUGGCUCACACCUGUAAUCCCAGCACUUGGUGAGGCUGAGGCGGGAGGAUUGCUUGAGCCCAGGAAUUGGAGCCCAGCCUGGGCAACAGUGAAACACCAUCUCUACUAAAAAUAUUUUAAAAAUUACCCAGGUAUGGUGGUGCACGCCUGUAAUCCCAGCUACUUGGGAGGCUGAGGCAGGAGAAUGGCUUGAACCUGGUAGGCAGGUGUUGCAGUGAGCCAAGAUCACAUCACCCUACUCCAGCCUGGGUGACAGAGUAAGACUCUGUCUCAAAAAAAAAAAAAAAAAAAAAAAAUUAUGAAAUUCCCUAUUUCACCUAGUCUUUUUUUUUUUUUUAAACAUAGCUGCUUACUUACAGAUCACCCAGUCUUUUUUAGGGAAAGCAACUAACAACAUAUUUCUUGUGAACUAGAGGGUCGAAGUUGAAUUAUUUCUGCUGAGACCCCCAAGGCAUCGUCCCUGGACCAACAGCAGCCUGGAUGCAACACCAGCUAGUCCCAAGUGAGCUCACGCUUCUGCUGGCAAUACGGUCUAGAAAGGAUGAUCUAUAAAGGAGCUGGAAGUUCGAGGAUAAUUUUUAGAGGCCACCGAGAGGCUAUGAAUCUUACCACCCACAGAGGAAGGCGCUGGGUUUUUGCUUCACCUUCAGUCAACAGAAGAGAGCGGGGGCAUGCCUGUGAAAGCUCAUGAAAAUGCACCCCCCGGGCUCGGGAGCCAGAAGCCCGCUCACAGCAGUGUCGGUGAAUGAGGAACUUCCACUCCCCACCUCACGCCCCUCAGCAACUUGGGCAAAAGAGGUGACAGCACCAAGUGGCAAAUAAAACCAAGGCCAAAUACAAGCUGCUCUCCCCUUGAAGAGAGCGAGGUUCCGUGCGGGCCAUGGUGGAAGGGGUGGCCUCUCUCUCCAAAUGGGGCUCAGAGGAGUUGUUCCUGUGGUGGGCAAGGGGCUUCAUCUGCCCCGGGCAGGGCUUGCCCACACCUCACCUAGGGAUGGGGUAGAACGCGCCCUAAAGAGUAAAGUUAGACGUGGGAGACCAAAUCAAGGUGCUUCUGAUUGGAUUAAGCUUGUUUGCCACAGCAGGACCAGCAUUUUGAACACGUUCUGUAAUUGUGUUGUCAUUUCAACUGAACACACAAUUGAUCAGCGUAAGUUCACAUACACUGGGGCGUGCUUACUAAUUUGAUGGAUUUGGUGACUUAGUGAUUUCUACCUGUUGUGAUGAUGGAAUCUGAGACCUCCAUUUCUCAUUUUUUUUUUUCUGGAAUUUGGUAUGGAAAGACGGCUUUUAGGAUUCUCAAUGAAAAAUGUGCCAACGUGCAGUGUCUCAGAGCCAAACAUACGAAAGGCGAAAAAACCUAGAAUCCUUGGAACAUUUUUAAUUUCUGGAGAAAAGGCAGUACCAGCUUGCAGAGGAGGAUCCGAAUUCCAGGGAGCUGUGGCCAGGGCUGAGGCGAGGCAUGAACGCUGAAGGGAGACAGCAGCUUCAGCACCUCCUGAGAAGCAACCACCUCCCUGAGAUGCAGGCCCUGCUCACGGAGCCCAGGCAAGAGCUGUACCUUAGAGGGCAGAAAUCGUACUUGGAGGAAAUGAGAACGGGGUGGCCUCUGGGGAGUGGGCUGGGCCGACUGCGAAGAAGCAGCAGCCACUUUCCUGAAAGGGCUGUGAGGUUACUCAGGGGUCACAUUUGUCACUUUAAAGAUUUGUGCAUUUUACUCUAUGUAAAUCUUACCCAUCCUUCAAAAACAGAAAACUAGUUAGUGAUAUACACGUAGAAACGCUUAGCGGAAGGUAACGCCUGCAAUAUACCUUGAAAUGCAUAAAAAGUAAGAUAGAUGGAAGAAUAGUUAUGUGAUACCGAAAUAUAGCAAAAUGGUUAACUGUAGAAUUGAGAUGGAAGAUACACAAUUAUUUCAAUUAUCUAUAGGUUUGAAGCACAGUGGCUCUCGCCUGUAAUCCCAGCACUUCGGGAGGCCUAGGCAAGCAGAUCAGGAGGUCAGAAGUUUGAGACCAGCCUGGCCAAUAUGGUGAAACCCCAUCUUUACUAAAAAUACAAAAAUUAGCCGGGCACGGUGGCUCAAGCCUGUAAUCCCAGCACUUUGAGAGGCCAAGGAGGGUGGAUCACGAGGUCAACAGAUCGAGACCAUCCUGGUCAACAUGGUGAAACCCUGUCUCUACUAAAAAUACAAAAAAUUAGCUGGUCAUGGUGGUACACGCCUGUAGUCCCAGCUACUCAGGAGGCUGAGGCAGGAGAAUUGCCUGAACCCAGGAGGCAGAGGUUGCAGUGAGCCGAGAUCAUGCCAUUGCACUCCAGUCUGGGGAACAAGAGCAAAACUCCGUCUCAAAAAAAAAAAAAAAAAAAAAAAAAAAAAAAUUAGCUGGGCAUGGUGGCACAUGCCGGUAGUCUCAGCUACUCAGGAGGCUGAAGCAGGAGAAUCCCUUGAACCUGGGAGGCGGAGGUGGUUGCAGUGGGCCAAGAUUGAGCCACUGCACUCCAGCCUGGGGAAGAGAUUCCAUCUAAAAAAAAAAAAAUACUGGAUGCAGGCAUGCCUUUGCUGUAUUGGCAAAUGUCCCUCUGAACCCAGAACCCAUGUGCUUUUCCUUCCAGGCCUAGGACAGUUGUCAGUUUCCAACCUUGACAGCAUACACGCUACCUCUGAGUUCAGAAACACUGGAGUUGUUUAUAUGCAAUACCAUUAUUUAGAUUCUUAAACAUCUGAAUUUUGGCCAGGCGCGGUGGUUCAUGCCUGUAAUCCCAGCACUUUGAGAGGCCGAGGCAGGAAGAUCACCUGAGGCCAGGAGUUUGAGACCAGCCUGGCCAACAUAGUGAAACCCCAUCUCUACAAAAAACACAAAAAUUAAGCCUGGGCGAGGUGGCUCACACCCAAAAUCCCAGCACUUUGAGAGGCCAAGGGCAGGUGGAUCACGAGGUAAAAAGAUUAAGACCAUGCUGGCCAACGUGGUGAAACCCCAUCUCUACUGAAAAUACAAAAAUUAGACAGGUGUGGUGGUGGGCACCUGUAGUCCCAGCUACUCAGGAGGCGAGGCAGGAGAAUCACUUGAACCCAGGAGGUGGAGGUUGCAGUGAGCUGAGGCUGCACCACUACACCCCAGCCUGGACGACAGCCUCUGUCUUAAAAAAGAAAAAUAUGAAUUUUAACUUUUUUUUUUUUCCUGUAAACCUUCUCUGUGGCCAUAAACUUUUCAUAUUUUUUUUUGAGACAGGUUCUCACUGUCACCUAGGUGGAGUGCAGUGGCACUCAGUGCCACACUGCAGCCUCAACCUCAAGCAAUCCUCCCACCUCAGGCUCCCCAGUGGCUGGGACUACAGGUACCCAGUUAAUUUUCACAUUUUUGGUGGAGACGAGGUUUUGCCAUGUUGCCCAGGCUGGUCUUGAACUCCUGGGCUCAAGCAACCGAUCCACCUUGGCCUCUCAAAGUGCUGGGAUUACAUUACAAGAAGGAACCACCAUGCCAGGCCAAAUUUUUAUAGAUGAGUCCAGGGAAUUAUGCUUGCCUUGCUCCAUUACAAACUCCUAAUGCACAUGGUGGGCUCCUGAUGUACAAAAUCCUGGUGCUCAAGGGACUGGGAGGCAGACUCUUCAUUUUCCUAAGACGCUUUCCCCAGGACCUUGAUGGAAUGCUUUUAGGAUGGGGAACUUUAAGGCAAACAACAGGGAGUAGUAGGGGAACUAAGGGAAGGUGGAAGGGACAGGCCCCCAGCCCUGUGCCGAACACUUGCUCUGGAGCCAGAACACCUCCCGCCAGGGACAGACCCACCCCCUGAUCCCAGAAACGUGACCUCUCCUCCUCUGACCUCCUUCCGCAUUAUACUUAGAGAAACUCAAGCAAGACAGAGGAGCCUCAGACCCGGAUCCCAGCUUCUGAGAACACAAGGAAGAUGCUGCUGGCCACAGCCCACUUUUGUUUGAAGCAUGAAACCUAGGAGAUAAUCACCACGCAGGGUCCGAAGUCAUCCACUCUCAGGGGGCGCUUCCUAGGCCCACAGGGACAGGGUAAACCAGUGUUUCCCUGACAACAUUACUUGAGGAUUCGGGGAAAACUAUUUGAAAGGAUUACUUUUAUAUUAAGACAAUCACGGAUAUAUUAUAGAAUGGAAAAUUCCUAUGAUCUUUCAUUAAAGUAGAUUUUGAAGAAA